UACGAAGGGUGCUAGCGUUGCUCGGAAUUACUGGGCGUAAAGCGCACGUAGGCGGGUCGUUAAGUCGGGGGUGAAAUCCUGGAGCUCAACUCCAGAACUGCCCUCGAAACUGGCGAUCUUGAGUUCGGGAGAGGUGAGUGGAACUGCGAGUGUAGAGGUGAAAUUCGUAGAUAUUCGCAAGAACACCAGUGGCGAAGGCGGCUCACUGGCCCGAUACUGACGCUGAGGUGCGAAAGCGUGGGGAGCAAACAGG
rnacentral:rRNA from 1 species